rnacentral:antisense_RNA from 1 species
AAUAGGCCUGCAGCGUACGCUGACAGAGCGCCGAGCGCACACAGUCGUCGGUGGUAAAACGGACCACGCCAAUCAUUUCAUCUUCUUCAAAACGCGCCAGCGCAUCGCUCAGCCCGGAGUUAACAUGCGACGGCAGAUCGCACUGGGUGAUAUCACCAUUAACGAUGACCGUCACAUUUUCCCCAAGGCGGGUU